AUUGAACGCUGGCGGCAGGCUUAACACAUGCAAGUCGAGCGGAGAUGAGGUGCUUGCACCUUAUCUUAGCGGCGGACGGGUGAGUAAUGCUUAGGAAUCUGCCUAUUAGUGGGGGACAACAUUCCGAAAGGAAUGCUAAUACCGCAUACGUCCUACGGGAGAAAGCAGGGGAUCUUCGGACCUUGCGCCACUAGAUGAGCCUAAGUCGGAUUAGCAAGUUGGUGGGGGAAAGGGCUACCAAGGCGACGAUCUGUAGCGGGUCUGAGGGGAUGCUCCGGCAAACUGGGACUGAGACAAGGCCCAGACCCCUACCAGAGGCAGCAGUGGGGAAAAUUGGACAAUGGGGGGAACCCUGAUCCAGCCAUGCCGGGUGUGUUAAGAAGGCCUUAUGGUUGUAAAGCACUUUAAGCGAGGAGGAGGCUACUGAGACUAAUACUCUUGGAUAGUGGACGUUACUCGCAGAAUAAGCACCGGCUAACUCUGUGCCAGCAGCCGCCGCCG
rnacentral:rRNA from 1 species